UACGUAGGGGGCAAGGCGUUGUCCGGAAUUAUUGGGCGUAAAGAGCGCGUAGGCGGUCCGAUAAGUCGGCUGUGAAAGUCCAGGGCUCAACCCUGGAAAGCCGGCCGAUACUGUCGGACUAGAGUCCGGAAGAGGAGAAUGGAAUUCCUGGUGUAGCGGUGAAAUGCGCAGAUAUCAGGAAGAACACCCGUGGCGAAGGCGGUUCUCUGGGACGGUACUGACGCUGAGACGCGAAAGCGUGGGGAGCGAACAGG
rnacentral:rRNA from 1 species